UGCUUAGCACCCAAUUCACCUGGCUCAUGUCAUUUGUGCAGACACUAAUCACAGCUGUGCAGCCUGAGGUGGUGCAGUGGCGGCGCCACAUCCACGAGUAUCCAUAUGUUGCGUAUGAGGAGCAGCCCACCGCCGACUACGUGGCGGACGUCCUCAGCAGCAUGCCCGCACCGCUGGACAUUCGCCGGCUGACGCCGAACAGCGUCGUGGCGGACCUGCGGGGUGGCACUGGCGAGGGACCCAUGUACGCCCUGCGCGCCGACAUGGAUGCACUGCCGCUGCAGGAGGAGAGCGGCGAGCCCUUCAGCUCGAAGCGGCCAGGCGUGAUGCACGCGUGUGGCCACGAUGCCCACACGGCGAUGCUGCUUGGGGCGGUGAAGGUGCUGUGCCAGAUGCGCGACCGCAUCCGUGGGACUGUUCGCUUUGUUUUCCAGCACGCCGAGGAGGUGGUCCCGAGCGGCGCGAAGCAGCUGGUGGGCCUUGGUGUGCUGGAUGGCGUGUCCAUGAUCUUUGGGCUGCACGUCGACGUCAUGCGUCCCUCCGGGUCAAUCUGGUGCCGUAUGGGAACGAUUAUGGGUGCGUGCAACGACUUCGACAUUGUGAUCCGCGGUGCUGGCGGCCAUGCCUCGCAGCCGGAGCUGUGUGUCGACCCCAUUCUCAUUGCCUCCGAGGUUGUGGCAAACCUCCAGUCCGUUGUAUCACGCCGCGUGAGCGCUCUGAAGGCCCCUGUACUGAGCAUUACCACCUUCGAGGGCGGGAGAGGAAGCUAUAACGUGAUUCCGGAUACCGUGCGCAUGCGCGGCACACUGCGCUGCCUCGACCGCGACACUCAGGCUCGGGUGCCCUCUCUGAUGGAGGAGAUCAUCGCCGGCAUCACGAAGGCGCACGGCGCCCAGUACGAGCUGAGCUGGCUGGAGCCCAACAUCGUGACGUACAACGACCCGAAGGCGUACGAGGUAGCCAAGGCGGCGGCGGUUCGUCUUGUCGGUGAGGGCAACUAUCACGAGCUCUCCACUCCUCUUCUGGGGGUCGCUGAUUUUUCGGAAUAUCAAGCGGUGGUGCCCGGCUGUCUGUGCUGGCUGGGCGUGGGAAACAGCGCUUUGGGAGACGCCAACAAUCACAACUACAGCUCAAGGUUCCGAAUGAACGAGGCAGGGAUGGAGCUUGGUGUGAAGCACCAUGUGCUCAUAAUCGCAUCGCUCAUGAUGCAGACAGAAGGCUCCAAGGAGUAGGUCGACCUUGUCUUCUCCGGUCCUUUUCGUGCGCUCAUUCUUUCCAUCCCCUGAUGACGUGGGGCUACCUGAUCCUGGUAUCGGUGCCCAGUGUCCCAGCUCUUUGCGGAGAAGCCAAAGAGCCUGCACGCUGCUCGCGAGUACGGCUGUAGCCUCUUGGUGUCAGCGGGCACAGGGCUGGGCUGGCAGUGCGCUGCGAAACGCGCCAACGGUUCAGCAAUGAUACGCACCCAGCUGCUGUGCUUCUGUGUUUGCUGCGCUGCGCUGAUGCGGAGCGUACUCCCGGACCGAGUCUGCUGCCUGCCGUGGCAUCGCAGCGGGCUGAACGUCGCCAAACGGUGCUGUUUGGCGCGGCUCCUUGGUGAAUCCUCGAUGCAAGUCUGCACUCUGCAAGAGGCGCGUCUCACCACGGCAGGCCUACAACGGCAUCUGGCCUCCCGGGUUUUCAGCAUUCCGGUGCAGCAGGAAAAAAGAAGCACGGCACUGGCGUCUCGGUGCUCACGCAGCACGACAUACGGGCAGAUGUAGGCCCCCCUCCCGGUUCCCGAGGGCGGGGUUGCAGCAGUGGCGCUCUGGCUUUGCUGCGGUGACCCUGCUCGACAGAUACACACCUCACGUCCGGCUACACGGCUAAGAGUGACCUGGUGGCAUGGGAAGCUCUCUCGAUCCGGUGCCAAGCGACGUCGCACUGAGUUUUCGCAUGAUUCGAAUGGGCGCCAACGCGGACCUCCCGGUGUGGGACGCGAAAGGGCGAUCCGACCGGGCCGGGGCCACCCCUGCACGACUGGUCCAAUGCCGAAUGCUGGGCCUGUGCAAGCGGUAAAGACACCUCGACAUGGCACCGCCACCACGGCGCCGGGUGACCACGGCGCAAUUCGGGCCACCGUCCACUUUGAGGAGGGGGUAUGGCCCGGGGGCCGCCAGAGAUGGCUGGCGCCGAAUCAUACUCCCUCCAGGAGGCGAUGUGGAAACUGUGCCGCUCCGUGGCUGCCAAAUCGAUCCGCAACAAUGGCGCCUACACCACAGCAGCACAGAAGCGGAGACGCACGAGCUUCAGAGCGCCGCGCUGAACCCCGGCUACGACGACAAACCCGAAAGCGCGCCAGCGAGCAAAGGUGAAUCGCCCACGCCGUCACACCCGACCACACAGACACAACUGGGAUCGUAGCGAAGGCCACCGGGAAGGCUGUCCCAUCUGGUAGAGCAGCCUACAGGCAGCUCUGGACGCCAAAACGGACGCGAUGAAAAGCAGCGCUCGAGAGGGUCCCCUGCGCGUUGCCCGAGCAUCGGCCUCUCUUGGAUAUGCUCGUCAAAGAGCCUGACGAGCUGGCCUUGAAGCAUGGACACGAUCCAGCAGCGCCGACGACCCCCCUCUCUUAUCUGCGCACCGCAUGCACCGGCAAUGCGACAAGACGACCGCUACCUGUGUGCGCAAGAGCAGUCCAGCGUAUUGGUGAAGAUGUGCCAGCAGAAGUCAGCGCGACAUCCGGCAGUCCCCCUCCGCGUCCCACGGGGCCUAAACCCCACGCCCCUCAAACCGUUCGCGAUGGGUGAGCUCGAGGCGGCACUGCGCCAAGUUCCCUGUGAGAGUGUCAAGGCCCCCCGCGAUGCACGGCAGGAGAGCACUGCUGAACAUCUGCAGCCGUAGCGCCGCCACACUGGCCCUGUCCCUGCUACAUGGAAAGAAGGGGCUCAUUGCGGCUCCUCCUGAAGCCGCACAAGCCCGAUGAUGAUCCCGCGCCUUACCACCCUGUAACGCUGACCAGCAAUCCGUGCAACUUACCUGAGCGAAUCUUCUCACGACCAGUGCGCGGCCAUCUGGAAGACAAGCUCCAGCCACAGCAGCCUGGCCUCCGUCCUCACCGCUCCACCGUAGACCCCCUGGACUUGCUCCUCCGCAAAGUAGUGCAGUCCAGCCAGCUACGAUGGCCGGGACAGUGUUUGUGGACUGCGCUCGCGCGUUCGACUGGGUCGAUAACGACGCUGUCAUCGCGGCGCUGAGGAAGUUCAGCGUAGCGCCGCAACUUACUCGCGGGAUCAUGGGGACCUCUGAGAUGAUCGUCGCGCCUGUGUUUGCUUCCACGAGAAGCGGUUGAAGAUGGCAAGAGAGCCCGUUAGGCGCAUGGCUCCGAUUCGACGGCAGGGACGGCUCAUCCUAGACGACGAGGAUGUAGCCGCAUUGUGGCAGAGGUAGAUGAGCUGUGGUUGCGUAUGCGUGUACGUGUCCUGACUUGUUCGUGGCAGAAACGGGCACGAUGGAAAUCUAUAUAUGUAUAUAUAUAUAUAUAUAUCCCUUCCGUUUCGGUUCGCCUUUAGACGCGCCCUUUGAUCUUACCCUGGCUCUCUGGCCAUCUUCCGCCGCCACAUUGCAAAGAAACUUCUUCUUCGAGCAGCUGCUGAGCAAGGGGCGCAGCAUGGAUGAACGCCCUCGAUUUACUCGCAGCCUCAGCCGCCCCUCAUUCCUCUGCUCCCGUCCCGUCCGUCCGUUUGGCCCCUCUCCCCUGCCCACCGCAAAG
rnacentral:misc_RNA from 1 species